CUACGGGAGGCUCCAGUGAGGAAUAUUGCACAAUGGGGGGAACCCUGAUGCAGCAACGCCGCGUGGAGGAUGACGCAUUUCGGUGUGUAAACUCCUUUUAUAUGUCAAGAAAAUGACGGUAGCAUAUGAAUAAGCACCGGCUAACUCCGGCCAGCAGCGCGCGGUAAUACGGAGGGUGCAAGCGUUACUCGGAAUCACUGGGCGUAAAGGACGCGUAGGCGGGUUGGAAAGUCAGGUGUGAAAUCCUACAGCUUAACUGUAGAACUGCACUUGAAACUUCUAAUCUAGAGUAUGGAGGGGGAGAUGGAAUUAGUGGUGUAGGGGUAAAAUCCGUAGAUAUCACUAGGAAUACCUAAAGCGAAGGCGAUCUCCUGGAACAUUACUGACGCUAAGGCGUGAAAGCGUGGGGAGCAAACAGGAUUAGAUACCCGCGUAGUC
rnacentral:rRNA from 1 species